rnacentral:rRNA from 1 species
AUGGGAACGCGAAGAACCUUACCUACUCUUGACAUCCAGAGAACUUAGCAGAGAUGCUUUGGUGCCUUCGGGAACUCUGAGACAGGUGCUGCAUGGCUGUCGUCAGCUCGUGUUGUGAAAUGUUGGGUUAAGUCCCGCAACGAGCGCAACCCUUAUCCUUUGUUGCCAGCGGUUCGGCCGGGAACUCAAAGGAGACUGCCAGUGAUAAACUGGAGGAAGGUGGGGAUGACGUCAAGUCAUCAUGGCCCUUACGAGUAGGGCUACACACGUGCUACAAUGGCAUAUACAAAGAGAAGCAACCUCGCGAAGAGCAAGCGGACCUCAUAAAGUAUGUCGUAGUCCGGAUUGGAGUCUGCAACUCGACUCCAUGAAGUCGGAAUCGCUAGUAAUCGUGGAUCAGAAUGCCACGGUGAAUACGUUCCCGGGUCUUGUACACACCG